UAAGUCCUGAUGUGUUCGUUUCAUUUACUAUCUGUUUUGACCGAACAAUAUAUGUUUAGGGAGUCCGGGUUUGUAAGCAGCGUACAUGCCUCCAUGGCUUGAGGACGUAUAACACUUACUACAGGACACCCACCUGCGAAGAGCGGGUUCAAAACAUAUAGAUCCAUAGGACGGCACGAUUGGGACUUAC
rnacentral:other from 1 species